UGAGAGACGAAUACGCAAAUAGAAGCUACCGUCCUUGAAGCAUUGUAAAUAUACUUUCGGAAACCCGUUCUGGGCACAUCACUAUACAUAUUUUGAUGUGUUUAGUAUAUAAGAAGAUUAUUCAAUCGCGUCUCGUCAUUCGUCUGUGCGUUAUCUAGUGACAAUGAAGCUCUAUGUGUUUUUGUUUGUGGUGCUAACUGCGAUGGUGACCAUGGCAUUUGCUUACCCUGGGAAGUUUAAUACGCCUGAGAAGUGUCCUGCUGGUUAUAUUCGAGUUGCAGACAAAUGUUUUACUAGAGGAAAACUGUGAUGCGGAAGAAUGGAGACCUUCAAGACUUGAAAGCUGACCGAACAUUUGUAAAAAUAAUUAAAGAAUUUAACAAAUAAAA